rnacentral:rRNA from 1 species
CACGUAGGGGGCAAGCGUUGUCCGGAUUUAUUGGGCGUAAAGAGCCCGUAGGCGGCUCAGUAAGUCAGGUGUGAAACCUCCAGGCUCAACCUGGAGACGCCACCUGAUACUGCUGUGGCUAGAGUCCGGUAGGGGAGCGUGGAAUUCCGAGUGUAGAGGUGAAAUUCGUAGAUAUUCGGAAGAACACCAGUGGCGAAGGCGACUCACUGGACACGUAUUGACGCUGAGGUGCGAAAGCGUGGGGAGCAAACAGG